rnacentral:tRNA from 1 species
GCCUUGUUAGCGCAGUAGGUAGCGCGUUAGUCUCAUAAUCUAGAGGUCCUGAGUUCGAUCCUCAGACAAGGCA